rnacentral:lncRNA from 10 species
AUCUUGUUGCCCGGAGUUGCCGGCCCCGCCUUUUCCAGCGCGGCGGAGGGCGCCCCCUAGAACGCAGAGGGGGGGCAGAGGGAAGUGAGAUGGGGACUACGGGGUCUCCAGUGGUUCAAACCCUGUCGUUCCUCCGCGUUACAGAGCUACAGCGGUCUCCGGGUGGCGAAGUGCGGAGACGGGGUUUUGGAGACGGUGGAUGGAGGAGGGGGAGGGAAAGCUGCCAACUUUGGAUACCAACCCCGUACACCCACCGAAGGGGAUGUCCCACUUUUUCCAGCGCUGGGAGCAAAAAGAUAACAGUGAGCGAGGUUGAAAAGGAGUCUACUCCUAUGUAAAUCUUCUGCAGGUUGUGCAGUGGACUUCACCUAGUCUCCCAUCUCCAGCUAAUUUGGCCAAGAAUAGUCACCUGGCGCAAGGUGGGGAGGGAGCUCUCAAUUGGCCAGCAACUUCUGACGUGUGACCUGACUGAACAAUGAGAGGCUCGAGUGAAAUUACCAGCUGGUAGUAGGACAGAGGAUAUAGAUACAUGGAAUGGAGCUGAGCCAAAUUAAUGACAAAGGACUAGACAAGAAUGACUGUUGAUGAUCACCUAUGCUGAGAUCACAAAGCUGCCCCGAGUCCAGAAGCAGGUUCACUGAGGGAGGCUCAACCAUGUUACCAAUCUUGUUUGAGAUUAAUGUUCCUUGUUGUAAACCUCAAGUCUGUUUCUUGCAAUCAAACCAUUCUAAAUUGAAACAACUACUUAGAAAGUGUUUCUAUGGGUUCAGUGGGACAUUUCAACCAAAUGAAAUAUGAUAAUGAUCUUAAAUGAACUAACAAUAGUGUUGCAGAAAUAAAAUACAAAUACCAGAAAGAUAGCCAGGCACAGUGGCUCAUGUCUGUAAUCCCAGCACCUUGAGGGGCCCAGGCAGGAGGAUCCCUUGAGGCCAGGAGUUUGAGACUAGCCAUGGCAACAUAGCAAGGCCCUGUCUCUAUUAAAAAAAUAAUAAUAAUAAUUUAAAAAUUCGCCAGGCACAGUGGUGUGCACCUGUGGUCCCAACUACUCCGGAGGCUGAGGAGGGAGGAUCACUUGAGCCCAAGAGUUCAAGGCUGCUAUGAGCCAUGAUCACACCACUGCACUACAGCCUGGGCAACAGAGUGAGACCUUGUCUCUAAAAAAAUACAAACAAAAUACAGAUUUAACCAACUCAUGCCCAGCUUAAGUACAGAGUUUAAGAGUGUGCAUUUAGAAACUUCAUAAGUGUUUGGAAUCCUUGAGUGUUUUAUUUUGCUUUAAUUUUGGUCUUCAGAUUCAAAGGGUUAUUGUUUGUUUGUUUGUUUGUUUUGAGACGGAAUCUCGCUCUGUCACCCAGGCUGGAGUGCAGUGGCGCGAUCUCGGCUCACUGCAAGCUCCGCCUCCCGGGUUGACGCCAUUCUCCUGCCUCAGCCUCCGGAGUAGCUGGGACUACAGGAGCCCGCCACCACGC